CUUCCUUCUUCCUCCUCUAUCGUGCAGACUGGGGAGCUGCUGCCUGUGCACAUGCUGCUCCAGUCAGUCCUGCUCCAGGCUGAGCUGCACAGCCAGCGUGAGCCGGCGCUGGGAACUGGAAACAGCUUCAUGUGCACACUGCAUCCUCCCUGUGCACACACUGCAUCCUCUCACUGCACACUGCAUCCUCCCUGUGCACACAUUGCAUCCUCCCCAACAUGCUCACUGCACAUUGACUGGGGCAGGACCACAACAACGCAUGGUCCUCCAUUCCCCCCAUGCCGGGAGGGCUCCCCUUCAUCCCAUGUGCUCAGCCCCAUUUCAGGAGGGCUGGGGAGGGCUGUGGGGGCUGCAGGGCUGGAAGCC
rnacentral:lncRNA from 1 species